rnacentral:rRNA from 1 species
UACGUAGGGACCAAGCGUUGUCCGGAAUCAUUGGGCGUAAAGCGCGUGUAGGCGGUUCGGUAAGUCCGCUGUGAAAGUCGGGGGCUCAACCCUCGAAUGCCGGUGGAUACUGUCGGACUAGAGUACGGAAGAGGCGAGUGGAAUUCCUGGUGUAGCGGUGAAAUGCGCAGAUAUCAGGAGGAACACCAAUUGCGAAGGCAGCUAUCUGGGCUAACAUUGACGCUGAGGUGCGAAAGCGUGGGGAGCGAACGGGG